rnacentral:rRNA from 1 species
UACGUAGGGGUGCGAGCGUUGUCCGGAAUUAUUGGGCGUAAAGGGCUCGUAGGCGGUUUGUCGCGUCGGGAGUGAAAACCUUGGGCUUAACUCAGGGCUUGCUUUCGAUACGGGCAGACUAGAGGUAUGCAGGGGAGAACGGAAUUCCUGGUGUAGCGGUGAAAUGCGCAGAUAUCAGGAGGAACACCGGUGGCGAAGGCGGUUCUCUGGGCAUGAUCUGACGCUGAGGAGCGAAAGUGUGGGGAGCGAACAGG